rnacentral:sRNA from 1 species
GGAUGAGUUCUACCGCAGCGGCUGGGCCCUGAACAUGAAGGAGCUGAAGCUGCUGCAGACCAUCGGCAAGGGGGAGUUUGGAGGUGAGCUGGGCCGGGCCACCUGGGGGGGUGCCGAGGGACUCGGAACUUGGGAACAAGCCCACCUCUCUGCCCCCAGACGUGAUGCUGGGCGAUUACCGAGGGAACAAAGUCGCUGUCAAGUGCAUUAAGAACGACGCCACUGCCCAGGCCUUCCUGGCUGAAGCCUCAGUCAUGACGCAACUGCGGCAUAGCAACCUGGUGCAGCUCCUGGGCGUGAUCGUGGAGGAGAAGGGCGGGCUCUACAUCGUCACUGAGUACAUGGCCAAGGGGAGCCUCGUGGACUACUUGCGGUCUCGGGGUCGGUCAGUGCUGGGCGGAGACUGUCUCCUCAAGUUCUCGCUAGAUGUCUGUGAGGCCAUGGAGUACCUGGAGGGCA